UACGGGGGGAGCAAGCGUUGUUCGGAUUUACUGGGCGUAAAGGGCGCGUAGGCGGCCACCGCAAGUCGACUGUGAAAUCUCCGGGCUUAACCCGGAAAGGUCAACUGAUACUGCAGGGCUAGAGUGCAGAAGGGGCAACUGGAAUUCUCGGUGUAGCGGUGAAAUGCGUAGAUAUCGAGAGGAACACCUGCGGCGAAGGCGGGUUGCUGGGCUGACACUGACGCUGAGGCGCGAAAGCCAGGGGAGCGAACGGG
rnacentral:rRNA from 1 species